rnacentral:rRNA from 1 species
UGGGGAAUCUUGGACAAUGGAGGAAACUCUGAUCCAGCAAUUCUGUGUGUGUGAAGAAGGUUUUAGGACUGUAAAACACUUUUAGUAGGGAAGCAAAAAAUGACGGUACCUACAGAAGAAGCAACGGCUAAAUACGUGCCAGCAGCCGCGGUAAUACGUAUGUUGCGAGCGUUAUCCGGAAUUAUUGGGAUUAAAGGGCAUCUAGGCGGUAAGACAAGUUGAAGGUGAAAACCUGUGGCUCAACCAUAGGCUUGCAUACAAAACUGUUGAACUAGAGUAAUAGAAAGGUGGGUGGAACUACAAGAGUAGAGGUGAAAUUCGUAGAUAUGUGUAGGAAUGCCGAUGAUGAAGAUAACUCACUGGACAGAAACUGACGCUGAAGUGCGAAAGCUAGGGGAGCAAACAGG